rnacentral:lncRNA from 1 species
CUGGUUGUUCUAUUGAUAUAUCUCUCUACUCCAACCAUCACCCGCUGUAACGCUGUAGUCUGUCAGGUCUCCAACCAUCACCCGCUGUAACACUGUAGUCUAUCAGGUCUCCAACCAUCACCCGCUGUAACACUGUAGUCUAUCAGGUCUCCAACCAUCACCCGCUGUAACACUGUAGUCUGUCAGGUCUCCAACCAUCACCCGCUGUAAUACUGUAGUCUAUCAGGUCUCCAACCAUCACCCGCUGUAAUACUGUAGUCUAUCAGGUCUCCAACCAUCACCCGCUGUAAUACUGUAGUCUAUCAGGUCUCCAACCAUCACCCGCUGUAACGCUGUAGUCUAUCAGGUCUCCAACCAUCACCCGCUGUAACGCUGUAAUCUAUCACCCGCUGUAAGCUGUAGUCUAUCACCCGCUGUAACGCUGCAGUCUGUCAGGUCUCCAACCAUCACCCGCUGUAACGCUGUAGUCUAUCAGGUCUCCAACCAUCACCCGCUGUAACGUUGUAGUCUAUCAGGUCUCCAACCAUCACCCGCUGUAACGCUGUAAUCUAUCAGGUCUCCAUCCAUCACCCGCUGUAAUUCUGUAGUCUAUCAGGUCUCCAACCGUCACCCGCUGUAACGCUGUAGUCUAUCAGGUCUCCAACCAUCACCCGCUGUAAUACUGUAGUCUAUCAGGUCUCCAACCAUCACCCGCUGUAAUACUGUAGUCUAUCAGGUCUCCAACCAUCACCCGCUGUAACGCUGUAGUCUAUCAGGUCUCCAAACAUCACCGCUGUAACACUGUAGUCUAUCAGGUCUCCAACCAUCACCCGCUGUAACGCUGUAGUCUAUCAGGUCUCCAACCAUCACCCGCUGUAACGCUGUAGUCUAUCAGGUCUCCAACCAUCACCCGCUGUAACGCUGUAGUCUAUCAGGUCUCCAACCAUCACACGCUGUAAUGCUGUAUAGCGUGUCUAUCAGGUAGGGGACAUCACCUGUUUGGGGUGUAAUGCUGUAUAUUCUGUCAGAUAUGGGACGUGUCUCGUUUCUCCUAACGCUGUAAUUCUCUCCUGUCCUGACACGGUCACGCCCUCCCCUAAAUAACCGUUC